rnacentral:tRNA from 1 species
UGUAAGAUGUCCGAGAUUAAAAAGGUGUUGGUUUGUAAAACUAAUUACGAGGGUUCCCUCUCUUAUAA